rnacentral:rRNA from 1 species
UGUUACUGCGAAGGGGGGACGGAGAAGGCUAUGUUAGCCGGGCGACGGUUGUCCCGGUUUAAGCAUGUAGGCUGGUUAUCCAGGCAAAUCCGGAUAAUCAAGGCUGAGGUGUGAUGACGAGGCACUACGGUGCUGAAGUAACAAAUGCCCUGCUUCCAGGAAAAGCCUCUAAGCAUGUAUGCGCGAGG